AAAUGGUGACCCGGCGUUGGUUCCUGUCCUAUGACAGGCGAAGAGGGAAUGCGAUAGGGUCCGAAUCUGCAAGAUUCGGGUUCAAACUGCAGCCGCCCCCGCGACCGUGACCGGAGAGAUGUCCGAAGCCACUGAUCCCCCAGGGGAUCGGGAAGGCGGGGAUCGAAGGGCCAAAAGCCCUGCUCCGCAAGCCGGGAGACCUGCCAGCGCGGACGAUUUUUG
rnacentral:ncRNA from 2 species